rnacentral:rRNA from 1 species
UCCCAACACAUAAAUAACCCCCUGACACCUCACAGAGCAACUCUAUUAAAUAAUAGAAGAACUAAUGCGAAAACUAGUAAUAAGAACACACUCUCCCCGACACCCCCCUCAAUCAGAAAUAGAUAAAUUACUGAAAAUUAACAAACUACAAAAAGAAACAAACCAACACAUCAAGCAAAAAUUCACACCUCUUUGUGACCCCAACACAGGAGUGUAUAAAGGACAGAUUAAAAGCCCAACAAGGAAUUCAGCUAAUAGACUCCAACUGUUUACCAAAAACAUAGCCUUUAGCACUACAAGUAUUAAAGGUCUCGCCUGCCCAGUGAUUCUUUCAACGGCCGCGGUAUCCUAACCGUGCAAAGGUAGCGUAAUCAUUUGUCUCCUAAAUAGAGACUUGUAUGAACGGCUAACUGAGAGUCUAACUGUCUCCUAAGGCCAAUCAAUGAAACUGAUCUCCCAGUACAAAAGCUGAGAUAAACACAUAAGACGAGAAGACCCUGUGGAGCUUUAAAUAUACACUAUUUCUUUAACUAACCUNAACUACGGAAUCAACACACAUGACACAUAGUGAAAUCUUUUUAGUUGGGGGGACUGAGGAAUAAAAAAAAACUUCCAUGACAAGGGACACCCCCUACCAAGGCCCACAAGCCAAAAUAACUUCUUGACCCAGACAUCUGAUCAAC